rnacentral:rRNA from 1 species
UACGUAGGGGGCAAGCGUUGUCCGGAAUUACUGGGCGUAAAGGGCGCGUAGGCGGCGUGUCAAGUCAGGCGUGAAAGCCCCGGGCUCAACCUGGGAACCGCGCUUGAGACUGGCAUGCUCGAGUUCGGGAGAGGAUGGUGGAAUUCCCAGUGUAGAGGUGAAAUUCGUAGAUAUUGGGAAGAACACCGGUGGCGAAGGCGGCGCUCUGGACCGAGACUGACGCUGAGGCGCGAAAGCGUGGGGAGCAAACAGG